rnacentral:rRNA from 1 species
CGGGAAUAUUGCGCAAUGGAGGAAACUCUGACGCAGUGACGCCGCGUAUAGGAAGAAGGUUUUCGGAUUGUAAACUAUUGUCGUUAGGGAAGAUAAAAGACUGUACCUAAGGAGGAAGCCCCGGCUAACUAU